rnacentral:tRNA from 1 species
GGGCUCGUAGCUCAGCGGUAGAGCGUUCGGUUCGCAUCCGAGAGGUCACCGGUUCAAGUCCGGUCGAGUCCA